UACGGAGGGUGCAAGCGUUGUCCGGAGUUAUUGGGUGUAAAGGGUACGUAGGCUUUUUGGAAAGUCAUGUUUCAAAUACCGAGGCUCAACCUCGGGAAGGGAUGUGAUACUACCAGAAUUGAAGAACUUAGGGGCUACUGGAACUGUCGGUGUAGGGGUGAAAUCCGUUGAUAUCGACAGGAACACCGAGGGCGAAGGCGAGUAGCUGGGAGUUUCUUGACGCUGAGGUACGAAAGCUAGGGUAGCGAAAGGG
rnacentral:misc_RNA from 1 species